AUCCGGCUGAAGAGUCCCAAAUAGGACGAAACGCGCGUCCAGGAU
rnacentral:hammerhead_ribozyme from 1 species